AUUGAACGCUGGCGGCAUGCUUUACACAUGCAAGUCGAACGGUAACAGGGUGCUUGCACCGCUGACGAGUGGCGAACGGGUGAGUAAUGCGUCGGAACGUGCCGAGUAGUGGGGGAUAACGCAGCGAAAGUUGUGCUAAUACCGCAUACGUACUGAGGUAGAAAGUGGGGGACCUUCGGGCCUCACGCUAUUCGAGCGGCCGACGUCUGAUUAGCUAGUAGGUGAGGUAAAGGCUCACCUAGGCGACGAUCAGUAGCGGGUCUGAGAGGAUGAUCCGCCACACUGGGACUGAGACACGGCCCAGACUCCUACGGGAGGCAGCAGUGGGGAAUUUUGGACAAUGGGCGGAAGCCUGAUCCAGCCAUGCCGCGUGUCUGAAGAAGGCCUUCGGGUUGUAAAGGACCUUUGUCAGGGAGGAAAUCCCUAGUGCUAAUAACACUGGGGGAUGACAGUACCUGAAGAAUAAGCACCGGCUAACUACGUGCCAGCAGCCGCCGCGG
rnacentral:rRNA from 1 species